GCCCGGUUAGCUCAAUCGGUAGAGCGUGAGACUCUUAAUCUCAAGGUUGCGGGUAAGCAUUUAUUCGGGAAAAAAUUAUCGUCGGUAAAUUUGUGGCUAACCCUAGUGUUAGGUUCGACCCCCGCAUCGGGCU